rnacentral:rRNA from 1 species
GACGAACGCUGGCGGCGUGCCUAAUACAUGCAAGUUGAGCGAUGAAGAUUGGUGCUUGCACCAAUUUGAAGAGCAGCGCACGGGUGAGUAACGCGUGGGGAAUCUGCCUUUGAGCGGGGGACAACAUUUGGAAACGAAUGCUAAUACCGCAUAACAACUUUAAACAUAAGUUUUAAGUUUGAAAGAUGCAAUUGCAUCACUCAAAGAUGAUCCCGCGUUGUAUUAGCUAGUUGGUGAGGUAAAGGCUCACCAAGGCGAUGAUACAUAGCCGACCUGAGAGGGUGAUCGGCCACAUUGGGACUGAGACACGGCCCAAACUCCUACGGGAGGCAGCAGUAGGGAAUCUUCGGCAAUGGACGAAAGUCUGACCGAGCAACGCCGCGUGAGUGAAGAAGGGUUUCGGAUCGUAAAGCUCUGUUGGUAGAGAAGAACGUUGGUGAGAGUGGAAAGCUCAUCAAGUGACGGUAACUACCCAGAAAGGGACGGCUAACUACGUG